UACGUAGGGGGCAAGCGUUGUCCGGAUUUAUUGGGCGUAAAGAGCGUGUAGGCGGCCACACAGGUCUGCUGUGAAAACUCGAGGCUCAACCUCGAGCUGACGGUGGAAACCGUGUGGCUAGAGUCCGGAAGAGGAGAGUGGAAUUCCCGGUGUAGCGGUGAAAUGCGCAGAUAUCGGGAAGAACACCCGUGGCGAAGGCGGAUCUCUGGGCCAUUACUGACGCUGAGGAGCGAAAGCGUGGGGAGCGAACAGG
rnacentral:rRNA from 1 species